rnacentral:snoRNA from 1 species
AAUCUGAGGGGAAAAAAAAAGACCAUGUAUGUAUUCCCAGGGCUAGUUCAUUUCUUAGGUCUGGUUUUACAAAUUCUGGUAAUAAAC